rnacentral:rRNA from 1 species
GGAAUAUUGGUCAAUGGACGAAAGUCUGAACCAGCCAUGCCGCGUGCAGGAUGACAGCCCUAUGGGUCGUAAACUGCUUUUAUAUAGGAAGAAACCCCUCUACGUGUAGAGGGCUGACGGUACUAUAAGAAUAAGGACCGGCUAACUCCGUGCCAGCAGCCGCGGUAAUACGGAGGGUCCAAGCGUUAUCCGGAUUUAUUGGGUUUAAAGGGUACGUAGGCGGAAUUUUAAGUCAGUAGUGAAAUCCUCUCGCUCAACGGGAGAACUGCUAUUGAUACUGAUAUUCUUGAAUAUAGUUGAAGUAGGCGGAAUACGGCAUGUAGCGGUGAAAUGCAUAGAUAUGCCGUGGAACACCAAUUGCGAAGGCAGCUUACUAAGCUACUAUUGACGCUAAGGUACGAAAGCGUGGGGAGCAAACAGGAUUAGAUACCCCAGUAGUCC